rnacentral:rRNA from 1 species
UGAGUACGAGCGGCUACGGCCGCGAAGUGGAUGAUGUCAAGCUUCCAAGAAAAGCCCUAUACCCGUUAAGGCAUGAUGGCCUGUACCCGAAACCGACACAGGUGGGGUGGUAGAGAAUACCGAGGGGCGCGAGGUAACUCUCUCUAAGGAACUCGGCAAAAUGGCCCCGUAACUUCGGGAGAAGGGGUGCCACCGCGAGGUGGUCGCAGUGAAGAGGCCCAGGCGACUGUUUACCAAAAACACAGGUCUCCGCUAAGUCGCAAGACGAUGUAUGGGGGCUGACGCCUGCCCAGUGCCGGAAGGUUAAGGAAGCUGGUCAGCGCAAGCGAAGCUGGCGACUGAAGCCCCGGUGAACGGCGGCCGUAACAAUAACGGUCCUAAGGUAGCGAAAUUCCUUGUCGGGUAAGUUCCGACCCGCACGAAAGGCGUAACGAUCUGGGCGCUGUCUCGGAGAGAGGCUCGGCGAAAUAGAAUUGUCUGUGAAGAUGCGGACUACGUGCACCCGGACAGAAAGACCCUAUGAAGCUUUACUGUAGCUUGGUAUUGUGCUCGGGCUCGGAAUGCGCAGGAUAGGUGGGAGGCUUUGAUCCAUUGCUUGCGGGUGAUGGUGAGCCACUGGUGAGAUACCACUCUUUCCGAGCUAGAGUUCUAACAGCAACCCGUUAUCCGGGUGCUGGACAGUAUCAGGUGGGCAGUUUGACUGGGGCGGUCGCCUCCUAAAAGGUAACGGAGGCGCGCAAAGGUCUGCUCAGGCUGGUUGGAAAUCAGCCGACGAGUGUAAAAGCAGAAGCAGACUUGACUGUGAGACCUACAAGUCGAACAGGGAGGAAACUCGGCUUUAGUGAUCCGACGGUUCUGCGUGGAAGGGCCGUCGCUCAACGGAUAAAAGUUACUCUAAGGAUAACAGGCUGAUCUCCCCCAAGAGUUCACAUCGACGGGGAGGUUUGGCACCUCGAUGUCGGCUCAUCGCAACCUGGGGCUGAAGUCGGUCCCAAGGGUUGGGCUGUUCGCCCAUUAAAGCGGUACGCGAGCUGGGUUCAGAACGUCGUGAGACAGUUCGGUCCAUAUCCGGUGCACGCGCAGGAAUAUUGAGAGGAUUUCUCCCUAGUACGAGAGGACCGGGAGGAACGCACCUCUGGUGUGCCAGUUAUCGUGCCAACGGUAAACGCUGGGUAGCCAUGUGCGGAGUGGAUAACCGCUGAAAGCAUCUAAGUGGGAAGCCCACCUCAAGAUGAGUAUUCCCAUGGCAUAAGCCAGUAAGGUCACGGGAAGAACACCCGUUGAUAGGCUCUACGUGGAAGCGCAGUAAUGUGUGAAGCGGAGGAGUACUAAUAGACCGAGGGCUUGACCG